ACGGAAGGCAGCAGUGGGGAAUAUUGGGCAAUGGGCGAAAGCCUGACCCAGCAACGCCGCGUGAAGGAAGAAGGCCUUCGGGUUGUAAACUUCUUUUACCAGGGACGAAGGACGUGACGGUACCUGGAGAAAAAGCAACGGCUAACUACGUGCCAGCAGCCGCGGUAAUACGUAGGUUGCAAGCGUUGUCCGGAUUUACUGGGUGUAAAGGGCGUGUAGGCGGAGCUGCAAGUCAGAUGUGAAAUCCCGGGGCUCAACCCCGGAACUGCAUUUGAAACUGUAUUUCUUGAGUGCUGGAGAGGUAGAUGGAAUUCCUAGUGUAGCGGUGAAAUGCGUAGAUAUUAGGAAGAACACCAGUGGCGAAGGCGAUCUACUGGACAGUAACUGACGCUGAGGCGCGAAAGCGUGGGGAGCAAACAGGAUUAGAUACCCUGGUA
rnacentral:rRNA from 1 species